UACGUAGGGAGCAAGCGUUGUCCGGAAUCAUUGGGCGUAAAGCGCGCGUAGGCGGCCCUGUAAGUCCGUUGUGAAAGUCAAAGGCUCAACCUUUGAAAGCCGAUGGAUACUGCAAGGCUAGAGUCCGGAAGAGGCGAGUGGAAUUCCUGGUGUAGCGGUGGAAUGCGCAGAUAUCAGGAGGAACACCAAUAGCGAAGGCAGCUCGCUGGGACGGUACUGACGCUGAGGCGCGAAAGCGUGGGGAGCGAACAGG
rnacentral:rRNA from 1 species